AUUGAACGCUGGCGGCAUGCCUUACACAUGCAAGUCGAACGGUAACAGGUCUUCGGAUGCUGACGAGUGGCGAACGGGUGAGUAAUACAUCGGAACGUGCCCGAUCGUGGGGGGUAACGAGGCGAAAGCUUUGCUAAUACCGCAUACGAUCUACGGAUGAAAGCGGGGGAUCUUCGGACCUCGCGCGGACGGAGCGGCCGAUGGCAGAUUAGGUAGUUGGCGGGCUAAAAGCUUACCAAGCCGACGAUCUGUAGCUGGUCUGAGAGGAUGAUCAGCCACACUGGGACUGAGAAACGGCCCAGACUCCGACGGGAGGAAGCAGUGGGGAAUUUUGGACAAUGGGCGAAAGCCUGAUCCAGCAAUGCCGCGUGCAGGAUGAAGGCCUUCGGGUUGUAAACUGAUUUUGUACGGAACGAAAAGCCUCUUUCUAAUAAAGAGGGGUCAUGACGGUACCGUAAGAAUAAGCACCGGCUAACUACGUG
rnacentral:rRNA from 1 species